rnacentral:tRNA from 1 species
GCCGGUAUAGCUCAGCUGGUAGAGCACCUGAUUUGUAAAUUAGGGGGUCGCGGGUUCAAUUCCUGUUACCGGCU